AUAUAAAAACUUGUGAGGGUGUUUUUUCUGCUUCUUGCAAAGGAUCACACGGUUGUUUGUGUAUGUUAUUAGCCCUCUUUUAAAUCCUACUAGAAGAAAGCUGUUUGGUUCUUAACGAGGUUCGAUUCCUGACAUCGGAAAACUUUUUUUAUUGCGUCUUAAAAGCCAUAUUUUCUUCAACUAUCGAAUAAAUCUCUCUCCAUUAGAAAGUGUUUCCAAUGCAAUUCAACUGUUUCACUUUAUAGCAGUUCCAUUUUUUUUUUGGAAAGGAGUUUCACCUCAUCCGAUCUGUAGGUCCAAACAUAGACAGCAUACUGUUCUCUUAAGAUUUAAAGUAAUCAGCUACCUAGGCUAAGAAAAAGAUCACGGUUUGGGAUAAAAAACAAGCAGACUUGAAACAUGUAGGUUAAGUAUAUUGCGUAUAUGGUAUAAGUGAGGUACUUUGCGUACAUGGGGUCAUUACAGUAUAUUAGGUACUUGAUGUAAAUUAAGUAAGAUAAAUAACUUCCUGGCUAGGUUUAGGCAAAAAAACUACAUAGGUUAAGAUAAGUUACCUACACUUGUUACAUACUUAAAUUCAAUAAGUAACGUUGGUGAUGUAAGGGGAGUCUUUAUGCAAGCUGACUUACGUACAUUACUUCAAAUAAGUCAUUGCUCAAGAUACAGACAGCAGUUCUAAGGUGAAGUCAUGUGUUUAUUCCAUGGACUCCAAUAUCAGCCCUAAUGACUCAUUGGGAGCGAUAACGCGCUGCUUGUAGCAUCAAGUGGGGAGAUAAUAUUUUCACAAAAACUUGACUGGAAUUUGCACUUAUGACCUCAGAUUUUCUGGAUUUGUGCUAAAGCCCUGGAAACAAAUACGUUUUCUCAAUUAUUCAAGGAAACAAAGCAUUUACGCCUAGAAAACGGACUGUCAUAACAUGGGGUUUUGGAGCGUAGUCAUUUUUUAUUUAGGACACAGCAUCUUUUGUUGAAAUGAUAGACUGUGUGUCAGUACAGGAUAUGAAAUAUUUGGGUAAAAAGAUAUGGAAUCCACUGUGUUACUACAUGUGUAAAUAUGUACUAAUUUUCUUUGCUGCUCCUGAGCCGUUAAGAAAUAACUGCUCAUUUUUGUAACUUUUUGUACCAUAUUUGACUGUGAAAAAGUGUUUCAUUGAUAUUGUUAAAAUGUCCCAAGUCUACAUGUUUAUUGCAAUCCUUCUGGGCCUCAUUUAAAGUUACUUAUGCAUGCCCUGAUCCAUUAAACUACUGGGAGGACGGUCGCUACAUUCUGGGUAAUUUCAUGGGUGGAAUCUGCAUGAGAUUAGAGGAAUUAAUGUUUCUAUUUCUCCCUUUCCAUCAUUUCUUCAAAGGUGUUUCUACGUAGGCGGUUUAUUAGGUUCACCACUAAUAAACGUAACAAUUGCAUUCUAUAUAAGAGCUGAUUUUUCUGCCUCUACACAUCUCGAACUAACAAAGCGCUUCGGUAAUCUGAUCACUUUUCUAAAACUGACUAUUAACACAAACAAGUGUUAAUCACCAGCCACUUCCAAUGGAUUUUCAUCAGAAGAAUGGUAGAAAAAAGAUGGAGGAGCAGCUACCCGCCUGAGAUCACAGUUCAGCAUGGUUUCCUAACUAGCUAGCUAAUCUUCCUCGACUCUUGGCCAACACCAGUGGAGCUUUGCUGAUGGACAGAGAGGCCGGCAGCAGAGGUUUACAGUCGUCUUUAAGAUCCUCCGGCUGCUGAGAGGCCUCCAUGUUCACUACUUGACUUAUAAAAACACCACUAAAAUGUUCAACACUUUGGAGUUUUUUCACUGUUCCUAAUUAUCCUCAGAUCGAUCCGCCAAUACAGAUGUUCUCAACCUCGGGUUUGCUCGGGAGUUUAUAAGAAAUAUAUAUAAAUAUGUAUUUUUAAAACGAAUAUUUUUAUAGAAUAUAUAUGAUUGUUUCUAUCUAUUAUGUAAUUGCUGCUGCUUAAAUGUUUUUUAAGAAAGAUUUUAUACUUUUUUAGAAAGAUUAAAUACAUUCCUGAUAGCUAAGACUGGUGGGAAUUUUAUAUUUCACAGGAUGGAAACUAUUUCAAAUCCAAAAUGUGUUUGCAAUAAAAUUAGGCGGCCAAUACUGGGAAAUGAUUGGUGUAUUAAUGAAAAUUGGUGGCAAGUUUGGUAAUAAGUUGCUACUGUAAAAACGGGUGAAUAUACAAUUAAAUAAAAAAGAACCCAGUGUAUUAAAUCGA